GGGGCGGGGUUGCAUUUCUCUUUAAUCCCUCUGUGGCAGAGAGGCCUAAGAUAGCAGCUCUGGAAAACUGUUUAUUGUCCCAGAAAUGACCGUUCUGGGAUAUUGUUUUGCUGUUGAUAUUGACCCAGAGAAAAAUGUGGCAGCCUUCUUCAUUCAGUGGCUUACUAGAGAAUAGAAGAGCAGGGAGGGCUCUGAGACACCCCGGUCUGACCCUCUGCUUGACUCAUGCAACAGACAUUUAUUGAGUGGCUGCCCUGCCCUCCAAUGGAUAGAUAGGACUGAGACGGCCUCCCAAAGAGGUAAAAUUAACUUCCUUGCUUUUUCAAUGCCAUUUGAAAAGUUAAAGAAUCUACUGGGGGCUGUCUACUAGAAGAAUCUAAAAUAGGUGAUCCAAAGCUGUUUUAUUAUUAAAAUUCCUGAAAGACAAAAAGAAGUUUUUUGGUUUUUUGUUUUUUUGUGGAUUUUUGCCCUUCCUUCUCGCUUUCUGAGUUUUUCUUGGCUAAUCAGAGUUAUGUCCUUUUUUUAACCUUUAAGGUAAGUUCCCGUCUUUAGCAGUGGUUUUUAUUUGAAGCCAGGGCCCAACCCACUUAUGUUGAUCCAGCGAAUGAAAUGGAAUGGAACAGAAUGGAAUAGAAAAGAACACAGUAGAAAUCUCAUGGUGCAUCACGGGCUUUUCUGUAUCAGAAGAGUUGGGAUGUAAAUUACAGGAGUGAUCUCAGCUCAGAAACAAAUUCCAUUGCUGUACCGUAGCAGCAACGCCCUCUGAGGAGAAGCCAACAUGCCCUUUUACUACAGCAGUAGCCAGCUCUCCUCUACUUGAUGAGCUUCUGUUCUCCUUCAGCCUCAGAAAAAGAGAAACCAGGAAUUUUCUUCCCUCCAAAUCGAGGUUCUCCAUCAACUGCAGCCUACAGUGGAACCUGUGCUCCCUUGCCCUGAGUCUGGGAGAAACUUACUCAAUCACUAAGCUCCCGUGCAGCACUUGCUGGAGGACAAAUUCAGAUUAUCUGAUUGGCCUGUGUUCCUCUUGCUGUUUCAGCUACCAACACGUUAAAAGGAACUCUAUCAUUUCCUCAACGGAUUAUUCCUGUCGAGAACCACAACAAGGAAGCUUCCUCUUGAGAUUUCAGCCUGGAAUCCUCAUUGUUCAAAUAUAUGCCAUUACCUUUUAAAUCAACCCCCGAGAAGUUCCUCUUCUAGCCUUUUAUUUAUGGAAUUUCAAUGCUUGGAAAUGGUGAUCACCUCCUCCCAAGGUUUUCUGCCACAUGGUUCAUACUUGAGCCCUUUUCAUCUUUUCCCAUAAGUUAAUCACUUCUUAAUUAUGUUUUGUUGCCCAGUCUUUGAACUGUUGUCCAAUCUGUUUGCAUACUGGGGUGAUUACAAUACAAUGAGUAUCACGAGCCUGACUGAGAGGAAAUAUACCCAGUCCAUCCAGGACCAAAUGGCCAGCUGAGAAUAGCCACCAGGCUAUUCUCUUUCUGAAGGCUUCUUCCAGUCACCAGAAUUUUCUGGAUGUGUUAUUCAUAGCUUGAACUAGCUCUGUUUUUGGUUUUGAUUUUUGGGGAUUUGGGGGUUUUUUGUUGCUGUUGUUAUUGAGGCGGAGUCUAACUCUGUCGCCAUGCUGGAGUGCAGUGGCGCGAUCUCAGCUCAUUGCAACCUCCACCUCCCAGGUUCAAGCGAUUCUCCUGCCUCAGCCUCCCGAGUAGCUGGGACUACAGGUGCGUGCCACCACGGCUGGCUAAUUUUUUUAUUUUUACUACAGACGGGGUCUCACCAUGUUGGCCAGGAUGGUCUUGAUAUUUUGACCUCGUGAUCCAUCCACGUUGGCCUCCCAGAGUGCUGGAAUUACAGACACGAGCCACCGCACCUGGCCCUAGCUAGGUUCAUUUGGUACCAUAAGUCUCUGAUUUUUAAUGUUAACUCCUGCACCAAGUAAAACUUAGAACAACCUUUCUGCAAAGCAAUUUUAUCACAUACACUAAGGAUGUUUUAAAGUUUGUAUCCUUUGACUCAAUAACCCUACCUCUAGAAUGAGCUGUUAGCCUGAGAACCCAAUGAAAUAAUCAGAGAUGUCAUAAAACAAUGUAAAUAUAAGGAUGUUCAUCAUGGCAUUAUUUUAAAUAAAGAGGGAAAAAUCAAUUUUUAUGUAAAGAAAUGGCUAAAAAUAAUUUCAUUUCUUUCUGAAGCAAUAUUCUAUAGGCACAAAAAUGAUGUGUUCAAAGAGUUUUUGUUAAUGUCGUAAAAUAUUCAUGUAGCAAUGUUAAGUAAAAAAAAAAAACUAUAUAUGGAAUAAUACCACAUUUUAAA
ensembl:lncRNA